rnacentral:rRNA from 1 species
AUUGAACGCUGGCGGCAUGCCUUACACAUGCAAGUCGAACGGCAGCACGGGGCAACCUGGUGGCGAGUGGCGAACGGGUGAGUAAUGCAUCGGAACGUGCCAUUGAGUGGGGGAUAACGUAGCGAAAGUUGCGCUAAUACCGCAUAUUCUGUGAGCAGGAAAGCAGGGGGACCGCAAGGCCUUGCGCUCUUUGAGCGGCCGAUGUCAGAUUAGCUAGUUGGUGAGGUAACGGCUUACCAAGGCGACGAUCUGUAGCGGGUCUGAGAGGAUGAUCCGCCACACUGGAACUGAGACACGGUCCAGACUCCUACGGGAGGCAGCAGUGGGGAAUUUUGGACAAUGGGCGCAAGCCUGAUCCAGCCAUGCCGCGUGAGUGAAGAAGGCCUCGGUUGUAAAGGCUCUUUCGGCCGGGAAGAAAUACGCAUGGGUUAAGUACCCUGUGUGGAUGACGGUACCGGAAUAAGAAGCACCGGCUAACUACGU